UGGGGAAUUUUGGACAAUGGGGGAAACCCUGAUCCAGCCAUCCCGCGUGUGCGAUGAAGGCCUUCGGGUUGUAAAGCACUUUUGGCAGGAAAGAAACGUCAUGGGUUAAUACCCCGUGAAACUGACGGUACCUGCAGAAUAAGCACCGGCUAACUACGUGCCAGCAGCCGCGGUAAUACGUAGGGUGCAAGCGUUAAUCGGAAUUACUGGGCGUAAAGCGUGCGCAGGCGGUUCGGAAAGAAAGAUGUGAAAUCCCAGAGCUCAACUUUGGAACUGCAUUUUUAACUACCGGGAUAGAGUGUGUCAGAGGGAGGUGGAAUUCCGCGUGUAGCAGUGAAAUGCGUAGAUAUGCGGAGGAACACCGAUGGCGAAGGAAGCCUACUGGGAUAACACUGACGAUCAUGCACGAAAGCGUGGGGAGCAAACAGG
rnacentral:rRNA from 1 species